UACAGAGGUCCCAAGCGUUGUUCGGAUUCACUGGGCGUAAAGGGUGCGCAGGUGGUCGGGUAAGUCUGAUGUGAAAUCCCGCAGCUUAACUGCGGAAUGGCAUUGGAUACUAUUCGGCUAGAGGGUUGGAGGGGGGACUGGAAUUCUCGGUGUAGCAGUGAAAUGCGUAGAUAUCGAGAGGAACACCAGUGGCGAAGGCGGCUCACUGGACCGGUAUUGACGCUGAUGUGCGAAAGCGUGGGGAGCAAACAGG
rnacentral:rRNA from 1 species